rnacentral:rRNA from 1 species
GACGAACGCUGGCGGCGUGCUUAACACAUGCAAGUCGAACGGAAAGGCCCUGCUUUUGUGGGGUGCUCGAGUGGCGAACGGGUGUGUAACACGUGAGUAACCUGCCCUUGACUUUGGGAUAACUUCAGGGAACUGGGGCUAAUACCGGCUAGGAGCUCCUGCUGCAUGGUGGGGGUUGGAAAGUUUAGGCGGUUGGGGAUGGACUCGGGGCUUAUCAGCUUGUUGGUGGGGGAGUUGCUUACCAAGGCUUUGACGGGUAGCCGGCCUGAGAGGGUGACCGGGCACAUUGGGACUGAGAGACGGCGCAGACUCCUACGGGAGGCAGCAGUGGCGAAUAUUGCACAAUGGGCGGAAGCCUGAUGCAGCAACGCCGCGUGCGGGAUGACGGCCUGCGGGUUGAGAACCGCUUUCGCCUGUGACGAAGCGUGAGUGACGGUAAUGGGUAAAGAAGCACCGGCUAACUACGUG